UUUCAUCUGUCCAUAUAAACGGCCCGGAAGUAAUGUGCCCAUUAUCCACUCCGCCUCGGCCUCCGGGCGGCGGCAGCUUUACUCAACGGCAGAGCUACCACUGUUGUUGGUAUCAAAAUUGAAGAGAUGCUGAAUCUCUUGGUCGAUCUUGAUACCACCAAUGGUGGCGGCGGCGCCGUCACCCAGACAGCUGCCGCUUGCCAACUGCGACAGCUACUGAAUUGGAUUGGACAAGAUUGUUCAAAUAGGAAUUAGAUGAGUAUGGGCUUUGGAUGUGACGCUUAGAGCUACUAAUUAUUAAAUGAACAUUCAACUUUAUAUUAUAGGCAUAAAUGCAAAUUACCCCUGAAAUAUUAAAAAAAAAUAAAAAGAAAACUAAAACAAAUAAAAGGGCAAAAAGUCUUUCCAAUCUUUUAGUAAAGAAGAAUAUUACUCUCUUCGCUGAGCAUUGUAGUUUAUUUGCUCAUUUUUUCGAUUGAUUUAGCUAUUUUGAUUUGUAAAUCAUCACUUUUACCUCUAGUUACUAAAUAUAAAAGUUGAAAAUAUUACAAAUUUUAUAUUUUUUUAUAUUGGAGGACGUUUCUCCUUGUUCUCGAAUUUUAUUCUAUGGAUUCUAUCUAGUUUAUGUGGAAUUAUGUGCAGUUUAUAGAUUUUAUGUAACUCAAAAUAGCUAAAUCAAUCACAAAAAUGGGCAAAUAAACUAUAGCCAACGGGAGGGAGUAAUAUGCUUCUUUAUUAAAAUGUUGGGGAGGUUCUUUGCCCUUUUAUUUUUUUAGGGUUUUUUUUGGUCUUUUUCCAAUAUUUGAGGGGGUAAUUUGCAUUUAUCCCUUAUAUCAUGUACCGUGAUUUGGUAAGAGUUAUUGAAUUCAAAUUUUAUUAUUGGUCGUUUAUGCAGAAAAAUAAAAGAAUUUUAUAUGGGAGACUUCGACAAUAAAAUUAAUACUUGUGCAUAAAUAACAAUUUAAAUUUUUAGAUGAAAUAGGUAUACGAAAUAAAUGGAAGUCAGAAUGGUAGUUGCCUUUCCAUAUCUGAGCUCAGCAAGACUGUGAUACUACUUUUGGGAUGCUGCUUUUCUUUCAUAUAUGCGAGAGUGAAUGAUUAAGCAUAGAGAUGAAAGUGGAAUGAGCAGAAAAUUUGAAAUAAUAAUUAAUCUUACAUUUAGAAUUAUGUAUUUAAAAAUCACGAUUUCAAAUUUACAGUAAUAAAUUUUCUACACUUGUUUGCAUAAUUUUUACAUUUUAAAUACGGUAAGUUACAAUAACUUCUCUUGAAGUUUAUCAUAAUUAUGAAUACCCCUCGUUGUUUGAAAAAUUACUAAUACCCCCUAAUUUUAAUAGUGAUCUAACAAUUAACCCAAUCUGUUAGGUUUCCAUCUACUCUUGUGGUAAACUGAUCAAAAUGUCCUGGUGGAUUAAAAAUUAUAGUUUUAUUUAUUUUGUAAGAUUUUUUUAUUAUUUUUAUGGAUUAAAUGGAUAAUAUUUUUAUAAUUUUGUAAGGUUUUCCAUCCACUCCAUUCGAUGUUUUUAUAAAUUUAAU